rnacentral:rRNA from 1 species
CACGAAGUUAGCCGGUGCUUAUUCUUUGGGUACCGUCAGAACAACCGGGUAUUAAUCGAUUGCUUUUCUUUCCCAACAAAAGGGCUUUACAACCCGAAGGCCUUCUUCACCCACGCGGUAUGGCUGGAUCAGGCUUGCGCCCAUUGUCCAAUAUUCCCCACUGCUGCCUCCCGUAGGAGUCUGGACCGUGUCUCAGUUCCAGUGUGGCUGAUCAUCCUCUCAGACCAGCUACGGAUCGUCGCCUUGGUGGGCCUUUACCCCGCCAACUAGCUAAUCCGACAUCGGCUCAUCUAUCCGCGCAAGGCCCGAAGGUCCCCUGCUUUCACCCGAAGGUCGUAUGCGGUAUUAGCGUAAGUUUCCCUACGUUAUCCCCCACGAAAAGGUAGAUUCCGAUGUAUUCCUCACCCGUCCGCCACUCGCCACCCAUAAGAGCAAGCUCUUACUGUGCUGCCGUUCGACUUGCAUGUGUUAGGCCUACCGCCAGCGUUCACUCUGAGCCAGGAUCAAACUCU